AGACGGAGGGCGCAAGCGUUGUUCGGAAUUACUGGGCGUAAAGGGCAGGUAGGUGGUUUGUUAAGUCUUCUGUGAAAAUCCGGGGCUCAACCCCGCGAAAUGCAGGUGAAACUGGCAGACUUGAGACCGGUAGAGGCUAGCGGAAUUCCUGGUGUAGCGGUGGAAUGCGUAGAUAUCAGGAAGAACACCUGUGGCGAAGGCGGCUAGCUGGGCCGGUUCUGACACUGAGCUGCGAAAGCGUGGGGAGCAAACAGGAUUAGAAACCCCAGUAGUCC
rnacentral:rRNA from 1 species